GUUAAAUUGAACAUAGUUUGAAAUAGACUUUGUUGCUCUGUAUUACAGUGGACUCAAAAACAAUUAGCACGUAAUUACUGCCAUAUCUUGUAUGAGCAUUGCUGGCGGUUCGGUUGACAGUCUGUGCCUCUUAACGCUGUAAACAAGUAUCGAAUAUUUGCUGCUAGUGAUAGAGAGAAGGAACCUAUGCUCUGGAACAAUGAAUGAUAUUCAAGUUGCCUGGGGCAGAAUUGCCAAUGUCAUUUAUGCUGAAUCGCCAGAAGAAGCAAAUAAGGCAUACACCAAGUGGGCUGACAAAUUCGACACCGACAUUAAUUCGACACUCUGUUGCGUGUCCAACGAGGAACUUGCUGAAAACUCGUUAAUUCAUAU